GUUUCCUGUUUUCUGUAAUUAUUUGUUUCUUCCUGCAUUGCUGAGGGAGGACACUUCACCUUGGGAGCAGGUUUCUGCCUGUCCUUAAGAGGAGACUCAAAGGAAGAGGGAAUAUUUCUGAAAGGUUUCACGUGGGGUUUUGUUUUGGAAGAAGCAAUGAAUACUUGGUCUCUUUCCAACUUCUCUACACCACUCAUGAUUUUGCACAUCUUUUUAGUCAUCUCUUUUUCAGACUAGAAAAAAAUAUGUAUUGGGCAAGUUUAAGAAAAAACCAAAAACAAAGCAAUUUUUAAGACUUUGAGAAAACACUGCUGCUUAUGAAAGUUACCAUCCAUUCUGCAGAAUGAAAGGCAGUAUUCUGCUUUCCUCCAGGAUCAAUAGAUGACUGAGAUGUCUGAUUUUGUUUGUUAUGCCUUAUUAUCACUUGCAAGGUGCCUGCUCUUCUUCCAGACUGAUGCAUUUGCUUACAUGUGCACCCUGAUGAUUUCAUCCAAGUCAGCAUUGUUUCUAGAAUUAACAAACCUGGAACCAAAGCACGUCU